AACUUCUUUAGAUUGCAUUCUCCCAAUCACAUAUUCCUUGGACUUAUCGUUUAAGCAUAUAACAUUUAUAUAAGACGGCUCAAACACUAAUCUUUGCCCUUUAUAUUUAAACUACAUUAGUUUAACUUUGUGAAAUGUCCGUAAAUUAUCAUCAUAUGAUUGGUUUUAGGGCACAUUUCCAACAUGAUUAUCUCUUUAUUCAUAAUGAAGGAACAUUCAAUGAUGGAUUAGAUUCAUAAUCUAAUACAUUUACGCUUCCUUUACGUUACUCUAAUUCUUCCUCAUUCUUUGAGGAAUCUAUCAUUUAGUAUUUCUUAAAUACUUAAGGACUCACUUGACAGUUGCCAUGGUUCUGAUCCUGGGCUUGCACUGAUAUCGUCUUGUACCUUUCUAGGUACAACUCAUAUCAAUGUUUUCAUACAAUAUGAAAUACAUAAAUCACCUUUCUGCGUAUGCAUAAAGGAUUCUAUUUACGCAUUAUUCCUUUGGGAGUCAAAGGGUCGUUCCUUUUGAGAAGGGCAACUUGCUAGUCUCACUAGAGUCAUCCUUCUAAUUGAAGUUUAUCAUCAUAUGAGAAACCUCCUAGCAUCUUUUGUCUAUUGUUAGGGAUUGAUAUAAUCAUAUUAUAUCUUGAAAUCUAUCAUUAUAGAUUUACAUCCCAUGUUUAUAGACAAUGUCUCCCAUAUACAUUCUAUCGUUAUAGAAUGUUUAAAGUCAUAAUUUUAACGAAGAAGUAUUCUUUUCAUUUCCAAAAUUAAUAUAUCAUAUGUGUAUAUAUAUGUAUAUAUAUAUAUAUAUAUAUAUAUUCAAAUUUAGGAACAUUAUUAACUCCCACUAAUCUUUUGUAAACCUAGUAAACAAAAGAUUCAUUUACAUCUUUAUGAGAAAUCAAACAAUUUGAUCUUUCUCUCAUAAGACGCUUAUAGCUCCCACUAGCUUGCUAAGAUCCAUGAUGGAUGGAUCUCUACAACUUACAUUUCUUGUGAUUCAUAGUUUUAGACAUAUAUUAUCAAGACUAUCUUAAUAAUGUUUCGGAAACCCAUAUUAUGUCCAAACAUUGAAUCACCAUUUAGUUGUAGCUAGCAAUCUUCGAAUUAAUUGAAACCAAGACUACGUCAAAGAUGGUUUCUUCAAAGUCAACCAAUCUCUUUGAUUGUAGUCACCUUAAGCUACCAAUUAGCUAUAAAGGUUUCAUUAUUUCGGGUCAAGUGGUACUUUACCAUUUCCUUGAGUAUAUGUCGCAUAUACACUCAAUGUAGUCAUAAGGAUUUUCAAUCUUAUUUCUUUCGAAUUAAGAGGUGUAACUCUAUGACAUAGUCAUAAAGUUCAAACCAUUCAACUGAGACAGUUUAUAAAUUCUUCUUGACUACCUUGGAGCUUGUGGUAUAGGAACUAGGUUGUUAUAUUUGUUGGUUAUCAUCUUGUCUCUCAAAGAACCCAUUCUUUGAGUUCUAUCUCUCGUUCAUUUGCUCUAUCUUAGGCAAAUCCUAUGGUAGGAUUAUAAUGAACUAUCCAACAAACAACAUUUGUUAGUUGGUUUAUAGAAGUGAUAUCCAAAUGUUAAUUUAAGGAUACCCACAAGAUAAUUUUCAAACAAAUAUUGCUUAUUAGCACCCAACCCCAAAUCUUAAUACAAUUAAGACUUGUCUUUCUUUCUGACUACAUCCUAUGGAGUCAUGAAAAUUUUGGAAGAUCUUCUAAUUGACAAUCAUAUUGUCUUAGAAGUAUAUAUCCUAUAUAUAUGGGUAAUUGAUAACAUCCAACGAACUAAAUCUUAUUUGAGUUCGUUCUUCUCUCAAUGGAGAAAUUCAUUAUCUUAUGAUGCUUCUUUCCUUGAUAAUUUUCAAGGAAACUGUUCUAAAGUGUUAUCUUUCCUUGGAUCAAAUCUAAGGAGGUAAAUACUUUAGACGUCUUACUCAUCAACUUACAUUUCUUGAAUUCUUUGAAACAUUUUGCAAAGUAUUCGGACUUGUGUUUAUUUAAAAUAAACGAUAGUCCAACCGAGAGUGAUCUUCGGUGAAUGUCAUACAACAUGAGUAGUAUUAUGUUUGUGGACAAGUGCCACUAACAUCUAAGUGAAUUAACCUCAACAACUUUGUGAUUCUUUCUUCUUUCCAAAAGAAUAAAGAUUCGAACAUUUCGCCUCUAUACAAUUUUAAUAAGAAGGUAUUGGAUCCGGAUCUAACGAUCCAAAGCAUCCAUCUAUGACCAACUCGUAAUUUAUGUUUUUAGAGGUAUCACAACUCAGUUGAGAUUAGUCACUACCUUGUAACCUUUUGGGUUUUAAGCAUCGUUAUAUUCUAAACAGUUAACACUACCAUAUCAUCUCUACUAUAGAGAUAAUUAAUUAGAUUACAAUAAUCUAAUCAUUCAUUAAUAAAGAACAAUGUUUCGUCAAACAAAACAUUUAUCCAUUUAACAUACGGAAUUAAGUUCCUUUAUUCAAUUGGAAUGUAAAGACAAUCUUUACUUUUUCCAAUUUCUUUGGUAGUUCAUAUGAGGAAGUAAGUACCAUCUGCUUUCGCAGAGAUCUACAUUUGAUUCACUUUCCGAAUGUGAAGUACUUUCUCUUCACUCAUUAAUCUUCUACUUCCUAUUAGCCACACUUUUACAAUGAUUGUAAAACAUAGUUACUAAUACGGAAUCAAGCAUUCAAGUAGAAGAACCAACUGUUUUGAACUAUUCAAUAACAAUUUACAACACCUUCGAAAGGUGUGUUUUUGACACUUGCAAGACAUUUCUUGCAAAUACCCCUUCCAAUGUCCAUCCUUUCAUAAAGAA
rnacentral:lncRNA from 1 species